rnacentral:piRNA from 1 species
CCGGAGAGUAACUCUACACUGCUGUGC